rnacentral:rRNA from 1 species
UACAGAGGUCUCAAGCGUUGUUCGGAUUUAUUGGGCGUAAAGGGUGCGUAGGCGGUUUGGCAAGUCUGAUGUGAAAUCUAUGGGCUCAACCCAUAGUCUGCAUCAGAAACUGCCGGGCUUGAGUAUGGGAGAGGUGAGUGGAAUUUCCGGUGUAGCGGUGAAAUGCGCAGAUAUCGGGAGGAACACCUAUGGCGAAGGCAGCUCGCUGGGACGUUACUGACGCUGAGACGCGAAAGCGUGGGGAGCAAACAGG